rnacentral:rRNA from 1 species
GUACUCCGGGGAUAACAGGCUGAUACCGCCCAAGAGUUCAUAUCGACGGCGGUGUUUGGCACCUCGAUGUCGGCUCAUCACAUCCUGGGGCUGAAGUAGGUCCCAAGGGUAUGGCUGUUCGCCAUUUAAAGUGGUACGCGAGCUGGGUUUAGAACGUCGUGAGACAGUUCGGUCCCUAUCUGCCGUGGGCGCUGGAGAACUGAGGGGGGCUGCUCCUAGUACGAGAGGACCGGAGUGGACGCAUCACUGGUGUUCGGGUUGUCAUGCCAAUGGCACUGCCCGGUAGCUAAAUGCGGAAGAGAUAAGUGCUGAAAGCAUCUAAGCACGAAACUUGCCCCGAGAU